rnacentral:rRNA from 1 species
UACGGAGGGGGCUAGCGUUGUUCGGAAUUACUGGGCGUAAAGCGCACGUAGGCGGACCGACAAGUCGGGGGUGAAAUCCCGGGGCUCAACCCCGGAACUGCCUCCGAAACUGUCGGUCUGGAGGUCGAGAGAGGCGAGUGGAAUUCCGAGCGUAGAGGUGAAAUUCGUAGAUAUUCGGAGGAACACCAGUGGCGAAGGCGGCUCGCUGGCUCGAUACUGACGCUGAGGUGCGAAAGCGUGGGGAGCAAACAGG